GACGAACGCUGGCGGCGUGCUUAACACAUGCAAGUCGAACGGAAAGGCCCUGCUUUUGUGGGGUGCUCGAGUGGCGAACGGGUGAGUAACACGUGAGUAACCUGCCCUUGACUUUGGGAUAACUUCAGGAAACUGGGGCUAAUACCGGAUAGGAGCUCCUGCUGCAUGGUGGGGGUUGGAAAGUUUCGGCGGUUGGGGAUGGACUCGCGGCUUAUCAGCUUGUUGGUGGGGUAGUGGCUUACCAAGGCUUUGACGGGUAGCCGGCCUGAGAGGGUGACCGGCCGAGUUGGGAGGGAGAUGCGGCGCAGCGUCGUGGGGGGGGCAGUGGGGGGAAGUAAUGAGGAAUGGGCGGCGGGCUGAUGCAGCGAGGGGGCGGGCGGGAGGACGGGCUUCGGGGUGUAAGCCGCUUUCGGCGGUGAGGAGGGGUGAGUGAGGGGAAGGGGUGAAGAAGCAGCGGCUAACUGCGGGCCGGCGGCCGCGGUAAUAAUGGCGGCACUCGUCUGAUC
rnacentral:rRNA from 1 species